GAAGUGAGUGGAAAUGGUUAUUUGUGUAAAGUUACAAUCCUUGCCAGACCAUGAUGCUGUUGUUUGAUGAGAAAAAUUGUUGCAUGCUGUGUGUUUGUGGAUGAUGGCAGUACAUCUUAAAGGGUGAUGGCUUUGUCUCUAUAGUUGCGUCUUUAGUAUGAAACCACAGAAUGCUGAUCAAAACGUAACAAGUGAAUUAUUCAUUUGUAGUGAUAAGUAGAAUAAUCUCCACUCAUUAGAUAAUUAGACCAUUAAUUAGUGUUGCAAAAAUCAUGUAUAUGGUGCCUGAUUCAUCGGUGCUCGGCAGUGUUGACGAAUGUUGAAAUUGGCUUCCUUUGCAUCCGGCUGCCUAGGUGGCUGAACCGCAGUUUUUUUAUAAAAAUAAACAAAAAGAAGAAACAAGAGUUAUUUAGCUGGUAUGGAACAAGAAGAGGGGGCUGAUGUGUUGAUUCCUUUGCUGGGUUUGGAGAUGUAAUUUUGCUCUUGUUAAGGCAAUAAAUUAGAGUCUCUGAUGCGCAUUGUCCAUGGCGUUUUCAGCGCUGUACGUUGCCGAUAAUGAAUUGGAACUGAGAUUCUGGCAUGCCUUUCUCUUUUCCUGGAAGCGUAUGCAUUCAGAUGCUCCAAUAUUAUAUAUCUGUCCAAGGUUUUUUCCGUGAUGUUAUACGCUGCAUAUGAAUGAGAUAAAGAUCUUCAAUUUUGUGUUUAUUUUCGCAAAUUUGUCUUCAUACAUUUUUAUUCAUUUACCAGGUGCAAAUAAGGAAGGUGAUGAUUGUUUUUUGUUGCCCCAGUCUUAGUUGUGUCCAUAGAUGCAACAUGGUGAUUGACAUGUCAUUUCUGAUUCCAUUUUGCCUCUCUGAGUUGCAUUUGGUGUUGCUUUUUUUAACUGCCUAUAGUUAGGAACAUAUGCAGAUAUGCAAGGAGGUGUGAUGAUUGUUAUCCAUCUAAAUCUGUAUGUUUCAGUGAUGAUUUCAAAACAUGCACUACCAUCUGAUCUCUAGAGCACACUUCUGAACU